GUCUGAGGCCCACUGCUGCAGCUGCUGCAGGUCAGAGCAAACGCCGCCUCCUAAAGGGCUCAGAAAAUUACCCUUGUCUGAUGGAGCUGCCUUCCUUGCAGUGCUGCAAGGCUUCCACUCCCACCUCCACCACAGCAAUUGAAGGACAGGGAGUCCUGGCCCACAUGAUGAAAAUAUGAAACUUUUUGCUUCUAGGGUUUGUCUUAAGGUCAUCAGGUAUCCCCUAGGGGAGUGCUGUGGGUUCACACUGAAGCUAUUCACAGAGUUGGAAGCACUUUGACCUCAUAUAGCAAAUCAUUGGAGGGAGAACGCUCUGAAACUAUGGAAUCCUUGAGUGACAAUCUGGGUGACCCAUCAAUAUGGCAUGUCUGGCUUGUGGGAAGCCACCAACGCCAACACUAGAAGACAGACAGCACAGCCAAAACACGAAGUUCUCGUCUGGGAUGACCUGAACAUUUUUCUGGUUCCUGCUCUGUCUCAUGACUCACUCUUUUGGUUUUUGACAAAAUGCCAUUGAGUCUCAGAACACAGCCCGCAUCAGUGGGAGCUGGAGUACAGGCUCUGCUGCCUCAUCCAGCUCCCUGCUCUCCCAAGCUCAGGAUGAUGAGUGUGUGGACUCUGGGGUACUGCAUUGGAGGUAAAUGUGGAAUCCACAAAAACUGCAACCUUUUCUUCCCUAUUCCCUUCUGGAAUCAUGAAAACAUCAGGGUUGGAAUCAAUACACCAUCCAUCACAAAGUAUCAAACAGAAGAGCUCAUAGCUUGAACAUAAAGCCUCUCCCCUCUCUCUCUCCUUGGUUUAGCUCUCUCUAAAAGUACCAUCAGAUGAGGAUCCUACUAUGAGAAGCCCACUUUCAUCUAGCUGGACACAUACUUGAUUUUACAACACAGGUUGUAAAAUGAGUUAACCAAAGUUAUUUAGUUAGUUUUCAAAAUUGAAAAAAGAAAAAAAAAUCUGUCUGUCCCUAAGCUAAGACAGUAUCAUGAUAUUGAUGGCAUAUUGAAGUACAUCAGUGAUUUGAAGCGCACUAUUACCCUUAUUUCAGAGAAAUUAAAACACACACACACACACACACACACACACACACACACACACACACAGCACACAACACACAUCAUUAACCUCUCUCCUUCCCCCAGCACACAAAGGGUUAU